AGAGAAUAGAUACCCCGGUAGUCCCAGCCGUAAACGAUGCUCGCUAGGUGUCAGGCAUGGCGCGACCGUGUCUGGUGCCGCAGGGAAGCCGUGAAGCGAGCCACCUGGGAAGUACGGCCGCAAGGCUGAAACUUAAAGGAAUUGGCGGGGAGCACAACAACGGGUGGAGCCUGCGGUUUAAUUGGACUCAACGCCGGACAACUCACCGGGGGCGACAGCAAUAUGUAGGCCAGGCUGAAGACCUUGCCUGAAUCGCUGAGAGGAGGUGCAUGGCCGUCGCCAGUUCGUACUGUGAAGCAUCCUGUUAAGUCAGGCAACGAGCGAGACCCGUGCCCACUGUUACCAGCAUGUCCUCCGGGACGAUGGGUACUCUGUGGGGACCGCCGAUGUUAAAUCGGAGGAAGGUGCGGGCCACGGUAGGUCAGUAUGCCCCGAAUCUCCCGGGCUACACGCGGGCUACAAUGGAUGGGACAAUGGGUCCCUCCCCUGAAAAGGGCUGGUAAUCUCACAAACCCAUUCGUAGUUCGGAUCGAGGGCUGUAAC
rnacentral:rRNA from 1 species